GGGGCUUUAGCUCAGAAGGGAGAGCGGGUGACUUAAGUUCGCACGGACCCGUGUUCAACCCACGGAAGCCCCA
rnacentral:tRNA from 4 species